rnacentral:misc_RNA from 1 species
AGAAAAAAUUCAAGAAAUCCUAUCUCCUCAAGAAAGAAUUCAAGAAAUCCAAUUCAAUGGAAUCCUAUCUUCAGCAAGUGGUUCUAAUCACAGGUUGCAGCCAGGGAGGAAUAGGCCACGCGAUGGCUAAGGAGUUUGCAGCCAACAAUUGCCUAGUUGUUGCCACAAGCAGGUCCUUGGACUCCAUGAGAGACCUUGAACAAGACCAUAGAUUCUUUCUGCAAGAACUGGAGGUUUUGUCAGAUGAGAGUGUCCAGCAUGUAAUAUCAACUGUUCUUGAGAAGUAUGGGAGAAUUGAUAUUUUGGUUAACAAUGCUGGGAUUCAAUGCGUGGCCCCUCUUGCU